rnacentral:rRNA from 1 species
CCUACGGGAGGCAGCAGUGAGGAAUAUUGGUCAAUGGACGCAAGUCUGAACCAGCCAUGCCGCGUGCAGGAAGACGGCUCUAUGAGUUGUAAACUGCUUUUGUACGGGGGUAAACGCAGAUACGUGUAUCUGUCUGAAAGUAUCGCAAGAAUAAGGAUCGGCUAACCCCGUGCCAGCAGCCGGGGUAAUACGGAGGAUGCAAGCGUUAUCCGGAUGUAUUGGGUUUAAAGGGUGCGUAGGCGGUAGGAUAAGUUAGAGGUGAAAUCCCGGGGCUCAACUUCGGAAUUGCCUUGGAUACUGUUCGGCUAGAGAGUAGUAGCGGUAGGCGGAAUGUAUGGUGUAGCGGUGAAAUGCUUAGAGAUCACGCAGAACUCCGAUUGCGAAGGCAGCGUACGGGAGCCGAACUGACGCUGAGGCACGAAAGCGUGGGUAUCGAACAGGAUUAGAUACCCGUGUAGUC